CCUGGGUACACCUUCGAGGCUGAAAGUGACCCUGAAUCCUUCCCUGUUUGGCCAGAAGGGUUUCCUUUCUGUCACCUUCUGCUUUACUCUUGGGGAACUUCUCUAUAUCCUCAAAUAAAAGGAAUCCAGCGUCGUGUGGACUUAUCAGCUUAAACCACGUGGAUUUAGACGUCCGGCUGCUAAGGCACACUCACAGCCGUGGGAGACGGGAAGAGGUGAGUCGGUGGCCACGUUCAAAUC